GACUUUCAUGUUCCUCUGAUCUAGAGGGUUUUCAUUGUGUGUUCUAGAACCCCCCCUGAGAUCUGUUUUCAUAAUACUAAGAUGUGUUAAUUUCUAAUACAAUAAAUAUCUAUCCAGCAUUGUUUUGGGAAAUGUUUAACAAGUGGCUCUUUAAAAGUAAUACUCAUUACACACUUUUAAGUUUAACAUUUUCUCUGUCACUUUCUCAAAUCUAGACAAUCAACAAAAUAAAUGGAAUUCCAAUUCAUAGCAUUUACUAAUUUUCAAGGAGUACUGAAAAUGUAAUAAUUGUUUCUUACAAGUCAGUAUGAUUUGGUUCCAGCAAAUACCUUAUUAAAAUUCGCAUGAGAAAACCUAUUGAACUAAAAGAGGGUUCUCAGCAAAUUUUAAGAAUAUAAAAGGGACUUUGGACCAAAAAGUUCAAGAACCACUUUCUUAUACAAUCCCUUCAUUUUAUAGAUAAGAAAAUUGAAGAUCAGCAUAGAAUUAACUUUUUCCAUCUAAUUAGUAGAAAGGCCUAGGCCUUGCAAUUCUUAAUUAUGUGCCUUUUCGGCUGCAUCCUGUUUCCUCUGUCUCCUGGCAUCGCAAGGGUCUAAGAAGAGAUGUUAGAAGACAUUUUCCUUCACCUGUGAAAAUAUUCUCAUUCAGUGAGAUACAGGCAUCAUCAAAGGUCUUGAAGACAGCCAUUCAGGAAUUGUUGUAUGCAGAUGAAGUUGUUCCAUGUGGAAAAGGUCUUUUGGCUGAAUUAGUCCUGACCAGAUCCAUUCCUCCACAGAAAGACCUAAGCUCCCUACCUGUUGGAGCCAAAAUGGUAUCCUUGCCUGCUCUUCAUCUUGUCUAAAAUCAGAAAGACUUAAGGGUUGUAUGCUGUCACUCGACAACUUGUUUUCCAUUGGGUAUAGCGAUCUCUGUGUAAAACUCUUUUCUUUAAAUUAAAUUAAAAUUCUCUAAAAAGAAUUUUUAUGGCACUCAAAAUAGAUCUUUGUUUUCCACUUAUUGUUUGACAUUGAGUAUAUAUAUUUCACUUAAUGCCUCAAGUUUUAUAUCUUAUACCUUUAGUCUUUCUGUAGUAGAAGUAUUUUAAAGUCAGUGAACGAAAGUUCUACAUUUAUUUUUUAAAAAUCUAUGUUUCAAGCUCUUUAUCCUUAGGUAAAUGUGAGAAGUAUUGUAUUUUUCCAGCAAUGAUAGCAAAUCAUAGCCAGACCUACCACAUGGCAUUUAUUCAUCACAGCUGGGUUUUCCUUGAUUACUACGUUAAUCGCCCAGUGAAUGAGUAAAGGUCAUUUCAUUUCAAUCACAUUUAUUAAUCACUCACAUUUUAUACUCAUUAACAUUUUCCCUAUUUACAUCAAGCUGGUCUCCUAAGUGAUUCUAUCAGGGCUAUUAAGAUGUUAAUGUCAAAUCUGGCUACAUUAACUGGAGUACUCACUGAAGGUGUCAGAAGGAAGUACAACAUUUUCUUCUAAAUUAUAUUUGUUUUCAUUUGGUGAUUAUUAAAUAUCAAGGUCAAGAACAACA
rnacentral:lncRNA from 1 species